UACGAAGGGGGCUAGCGUUGUUCGGAAUUACUGGGCGUAAAGGGCGCGUAGGCGGCCGAUUAAGUUAGAUGUGAAAGUCCUAAACUCAACCUGGGGACUGCACUUAAUACUGAUUGGCUUGAAUUCGGGAGAGGAUAGCGGAAUUCCCAGUGUAGAGGUGAAAUUCGUAGAUAUUGGGAAGAACACCAGUGACGAAGACAGCUAUCUGAACCGACAUUGACGCUGAGGCGCGAAAGCGUGGGGAGCAAAC
rnacentral:rRNA from 1 species